GGAUGUGAUCAUACCAGCACUAAAGCACCGGAUCCCAUCAGAACUCCGAAGUUAAUCGUGCUUGGGCGAGAGUAGUACUAGGAUGGGUGACCUCCUGGGAAGUCCUCGUGUUGCAUUCC
rnacentral:rRNA from 2 species